rnacentral:rRNA from 1 species
ACUCCUACGGGAGGCAGCAGUGAGGAAUAUUGGUCAAUGGGCGAGAGCCUGAACCAGCCAAGUCGCGUGAAGGAAGAAGGAUCUAUGGUUUGUAAACUGCUUUUAUACGGGGAUAAACGUUAGCUUGCGAGCUAAUCUGAAGGUACUGUAUGAAUAAGGAUCGGCUAACUCCGUGCCAGCAGCCGCGGUAAU